UGUGAGAUGGCUGAGUAAUAAGCAGAAGAUUGUAGCUCUUUUUACGGAGAAUGUUCUCCUCUCAUAA
rnacentral:tRNA from 1 species